GCAGUAUUUUUAAACGUCUUCUGCGGUUAGAGAUUAUAAUUUUUGGUUUAAAACUGAAAGAGAAACAGGAUAAUAAGGGACACUAGGAUAAUAAUAUUACAAUACUUAAUUCUAAUGACUGCUCGAAAAAAUGGUCACUUGGCCGGGUGAUAUUUUAAAAUUCCAGUCACAGGUAUUCAGCAGAAAUUAGAGACACAGAAAUUGCACGAUCUCAAAACAAGGGUAUCAU